rnacentral:rRNA from 1 species
UACGAAGGGGGCUAGCGUUGCUCGGAAUCACUGGGCGUAAAGCGCACGUAGGCGGGUUGUUAAGUCGGGGGUGAAAUCCUGGAGCUCAACUCCAGAACUGCCUUCGAUACUGGCGACCUUGAGUCCGGGAGAGGUGAGUGGAACUCCGAGUGUAGAGGUGAAAUUCGUAGAUAUUCGCAAGAACACCAGUGGCGAAGGCGGCUCACUGGCCCGGUACUGACGCUGAGGUGACGAAAGCGUGGGGAGCAAACAGG